UCAUGGUCAUGGCAGUUUGUCUGGGAGGGUGAUUGAGGGCUCAGAGGCAGGUUCUGAACCAGGGUGUCUUUGACCAAAGAGGCUAACCUCAUCAGGUCAGGUCAGCCUCGUGCCUUGGCACUCCCUGAGCCUCCCAUCCUCCUUAUAUCCUUCUGACCCCAGGAGGCUUAACAGUGAAGCCACUGCAGCCACAGCUCUGUUGCACAGCUCCUUUGUAGUCAACUUCAUUGCAAAUAACUAUUUGCUUUUAUGCCUAUAUUUAUAGCAGGAAUCUUGCAUUCUUUUUCUUAAACAGGGCCACCAAAUUGUAUGACUUCACACCCAUGAGAUUUGCUUCCAACAAAUCCUUACGGUGCACCCAUUAUAUGCAGGCACUGUGCUAGGUGCUGGUGAGGGCAGGGUGGGGGGAACAUCAUGGAGCAUUAGGCAGAUGCUGCUCCAUCCUUUUGCUGGUGGGGCUGGGAGGCUCAGCUGAACUCACAAUACAUGCUGCUUUCCUGCCUCUCUGCCUCUGCCAGCGUGGAAUCCUCUGCCAGCCUUGGAAUUUCCUCCAUCUUCCAAGGACCCUCUGAGAAGCCUGCCUGACUCCCCUAGUGGGAAGCACAGCAUCGUCCACGGAAGCAGGUGACGCCAGGUACUGGGGCAAGAAGUGCAUCCGAACCCUGACUGGCCUUAAAGGAUGGUGGGACUAGGCCUUGCCACGGGUCAGUGGGAAUAGCAGUGAUCAUUAAGACUUUACCAGCACCUCCGGAUGCUCACAAGAGGGCAGAUCUUGGCUCCACCAUUGUCAGUCGCAUUACUCACUGGCCCAUGAACUCCACGUUGGAUUUCUUCUGUGUCUUCAGCAGCACACUGGGCGGGUCACACCCAAGAAGUGCCUGAAAGCUUUAAAGAAAGGCAAGGGGAGUCACUUGAUUUGACUGCCUCUGCUGCCCCCUGCUGCAGAAUAAUAGUUUGAAGCGCUAACAUGGGAGCUCCCCCUCUCAAUCUUGGGGAUCUCAGGGCACUGUUUCACACCUAAAAGUUAUUGAGGACUCCACAGAACAUCUGUUUAUAUGGUUGAUAUUGGUAUUUUUAGUAUUAUAAAUUAAAACAUACACUUAAAAAUAUUUAUGUAAUUAACAAUCUGAUUGAAUUUUAACAUAUUUUUAUGAAAAAUAUAUUUUCCUAAACCAAAAAUUAGUGAGAAGAGUGGCAUUGUUUCA
rnacentral:lncRNA from 1 species